UCAUCACAGUCGCUGUGGUGAGCCGAACACGCGCAUCUCCCUCGUCACAACAUCCACAGGCACGCACGCGCGCUGAACCAUUCAAAAACGCGGACUAAGGCCGACGCGCUUGUAGCCGAGGCGUGGCUUGCAUCAAAGUCCUGCCCUUACUGGCCUGCGCAUGUGCCUGCCUCUCCGCCGAGCUGUGCGUUUGUCUGUCUGCCUGUCUGUCACUCUCUCUGUUCCCUGAACAUCUGCAUCAGUCAUUUCUCUCAUUUCCAUCGUAUCUCCUCCCCACGCCCUGCCUUUUUCUGUCCUUGUUGCGCACGCUCUUCAGCUGGUCCAGCUGGCAUACUUCGUCGCGCUUCCAUUUUUGUGUGCCUCUGCUCGUGUGCGCCUUGCGGUCAAACGUGGGGGGGGGCUCGGCGCACUCUAGUGUCCCCCUUUCCACUGAGCACGUGCGUGGGUCCUCGGACUCCGCGCAUUCUUAUGUGUGACAUUUUGUUGUCCCCGCAGCCCCUCUCCUCCCUCCCUCUCUCUCUGGCAGGUGCGGCAUCUCCCCUCGCUGGCUCUUUGCUUCUGUGCCGGUUGCAAAACACGCCAUCCAGUCGGCCUUCCUGCCAUUUGACAGACGGGCGCUCUUUUUUUUUUGCUCUGCUCUCUUCGUGGCUGUUGUUCUCUGUUCUUUCGCCCCUGCCUCGCUCUCGCUCUCUUUCUCUGCGCGUAGCACACCAGCCCACCAACCUGACGGCUCGCACCUCUCACAGAUCCCACGCGUGGGCGAUCCCCUGCUGCAGACCCGCGCAGUAAUCGCAGGGGCACCGUUGCACCUGCUCUGGCAACGGCGUGGCCCCCCUCUUUUCCCGGCUUCCCUUUGUUCGCUUGCGGACGCGCUUUUCUUGCGGAAGACUCUGCCGUUUUCGGCCACCCUCGUCCGUCUUUGUAUGUGCGCUCAUCGAUUCUCGUCGUCAUGGACUCGCUGUACAACUGGAAUGACUCGACCAAGAUCGGGGUGGCCUUUACCGGCCUUGGCAUGUUCUUCACGUUCAUGGGCAUCGUGAUGCUCCUGGACAGCAUUCUUCUCACAAUGGGGAACUUCUUGUUUGUGGCCGGUGUGGCGAUGGUCAUGGGACCACAGCGGUGCAAGGCGUUCUUCAUCGCGCGCCAGCGCGCAUCUGCGUGCUUCUUUGUGGGCAUUUUGUUUGUGAUUCUCCGUUGGUGUUUUAUUGGUCUGUGCAUUCAAGGCUUUGGCGCGCUGAACCUAUUUGGCAACUUUUUCCCUGUACUAGUGCGCGUGUUGGAGUCUGCCCCUGUCAUUGGCCCUAUAAUCUUAUCUGCCCCAGUCCAGAAAGUGCUGUCUCUCAUGCACGUCAACGAUGUGCGAAACCUGCGGAAUGUUUAGAGCUGUGCGCCUGCGCUUUCCGCCUCCCCCUAGAUGACUGACAGUUGCAGCACUGCGACGUCAAGUCGUUUGGAGAGAGGGGUGGAGGGGGUGCAGUAGUGCGGUGAUGAAGGGUGGCAGCCCGACAAGUGCGGAAAGGUGCGGGCCCUUUAGUCGCUCGAUUGCGAUACUGCCUUUGAAGAGAAAGAUCGCGCAGGACCCUUCAGACACUGAUACGCGGUGCCAUACAAGUCUCGUUGUGCCCCGCCGCGUCCAUGUGCGUCUCCUUCGUCGCCUCACUUCUUCAUAGCCUCUGUGCUCACUUGCACAUCAGCUCUCCAUCGCGGGAUGCGUGAGGACUGGGCGGGUGUCUGUGUGCGACCGUGGGUUGUAUGCUAUUCCUUCUUUGAUGCUGUCCUCUGGUAUCGCAACUUGGGCGUCCACCUUCCUCCGUGCUCGCGUGCAUGGCGCAUGCGAACACCUAUACAGAAAAGCCAUGGCGCGUAUAUGCGCAACCAAGAUACGCCCACGCAAGGCCAAGCGUCUCUCUGUCGAUGACACCUCUUCUCCGAUACUGCGUUUAAGCGUGCUGCCGAGGCAUCGUUUGUCCGAGGGAUGAUGAGUGCGCAUGUCUACUCCUCUGUGCGUUGCUACCCACUUCUCAAGCGUGUUUUUGUAGCUUUAGGAAGAAAGCCAAAGGGCAAACCAUCAGGCUGGUGUUCCUCUUGUUGCUCAUGCCCGCUUUCAUUUGCAGAUCGCUACCCCUGCCACGGAGCCUUGAGGGUGAACCAGCUAAGAAAGUCAGGAUAAGGCGCACCCCCGGUGCUUCAUGCCCCCCCCCCCCCCCCCCCCCGCUCCUCCGUCUGCACUCUGUUUCGCUCCCCCUUUCUCCUUUCCCAG
rnacentral:misc_RNA from 1 species